CUGCCGACGUCGCCGGCGACGUUUCCGGCCAUCUCGAGCUGCGCCGUCGCUUGGAACAGGUAGCUCUCCUUCCCUUCUAGCUGUUUCCUAGGUUGUGCGAUGACGAUGUCGACGGUGGUUGCCGGAUCGAAGCCGUGAAGUUCCGGGUAAAACCGUGAGUUUUCGACGCCGAUUCCGGCCACUUGCCGUCCGAAUUGGACCUUGGUGUAGUUGAAUAAAGUGUUCCACUCGUCGAGUAGAACCUGUAGCCGGAAGGGUGAGCUCGGGUGUGGAGUUUUUCCGUUCCCGGAAUUUCUCUACACACCCACGCGCUGCCGGCGCGUGUGGCGGCGCGUGGGCGAGGCUGGUGAGGCUGCAAAUUAACCCGAUGAGAUCCUUAGGUUGUCACGAGCGCAUAGGAUUUUGCGGAUCUCAAUUCGGAUGUCGUUUGACUAUCGAACGGAUUUUCGCAUAUUGUGCGUUAUCCGGGUUCGAUAGGUUCCGACCGUUAGAUCCUUCCCGAAUUAAAAUAUGUUGUUCUAGGUAUUCUUAGGAUCGUAUAGGACUUCGCGGAUUGUGAAUCGGAACCCCGGAUGUUCCGAUUCAAUAACUUAAAGUUUGUGUUUUAUAUUAACCGUCCGAUUGUGCGAUCGUAAGCGAUCUAACUGUCCGUUUCGGACCAAACUUGCGAGACGGGUAUCUUAGACCUUGUGGAACCUUUAGGAACUUUCGGAUUGUAAAAUGGAGGUCGUGGGUCCCGUGGGUCCCGUGGGCCCGGUUGACCCGAAUUGGGAAGUUUGACCGUCGGUUGACCGAGUGUCUCCCGAAGCUGUUCCAUCGUCCAAAUUGGGUAGUUGGACCUUAGAACGUCGCGUUCCUAGUACACUUACUAAGAACCUGGGAAAUUAGGAUAUUUAAUUCAAAGUACUCGUUCGAAACGCUUCGUAUUAAUCUCGUGUACGUAUUCUGAAUUAGGUACUCCGACCACACAUACGCAGCAGGCGGGACCCUCUCAGGGUCAAGCAGCGUGGGACUACUUGUGAGUGGACUUUGUUUUCAAAUCUUAUGCAUGGUUUUAUUAAUGAAAGAUUUAUGCAUAAUGUUUUAACGAUUUAUUGAAUAUAUUAUAUUCAUGGGUUGAAUUUGAUGUCUAUAUAGCGCUUUGGCAUAGUUGGGUAUCGAAAGUAUAUUUAUAUGGAUUUUGGGAAAUAUUAUGCAUGAUGUUUUAAAUGGUAUUUUUGGAUAUAUUAUUUAUUCAGUUGUUGAAAGGGAUAUUUUUAUGAGGCAUUGAAAAUAUAUUUUGGGUUUUAACAUAUUUGAGUAUCUUGAGUAUGAAUAUAUGGAUUUGAGGAUUUCUAUAUAUAUUUGGUUAUGUGCGAGGUACUUGGGUUGUUGAGAUGAGAUUGUGGAAAGUGGUGAGUAUAGAAUGUCAGUUUGGUGUGCUAUAAGCACUACCCUAUGUACCUCCCCUGAUUUGGAACUUGGAUAUGGAUACUUGAGAUACUUGGAAGAAUCGGAACCCGGGGCAUCCUUGACGGGAUGUUGCUGUAGACCCUUGAUUGGGUAGUCUGCGCGCGUAGGACUGAUCACAGACAUACGGGUUUUGAGGUUAUCGACGGUACGUGCUGGCUGAGAGUUGGUCCCCCAGUUGGACGGCUCGUUCCCUAGUCACAUGGUGGAUUGAGGACUCAUCAUGAGGACUCUGCCAGGGUGACUAGUCAAACAAUCCCCCGGUUGGAUUGUUUCCCCGGUACAACUAGGUGAUGGUCAUAUUUAUAUUAUAUAUAUCUCUUAUAUUAUAUAUUUAUAUAUAUAAUCCAUUCAUUUAUGUUUUUCGGUGAGGAUACUUCUUUGCCGGUCGUGCCAAUGGGUACGCUUUCGAGAGUUUGGUUGUGGGACUUAUAAGUUUUGGAUGGUGGGUUUUAUAAAGUGUUCUUUUUGGAUUUUGGACUUGGCAUCUGGUAUUGAUUUGUUUUUAUAUAUUAUAUAUAUUAUAUUAUAUAUAUAUACUUGAGUAUGAAGGUUUUAAGAUGCAUGGAAUUUCUUGCAUGGUUUUCUAAACGGUGGGGUUAUAUUACGUUGGUUUACACUGAACUGAAUUUAUUUUUGUCCACUCACAAUUUUCUGUUUUGCGCCCCCCAGCCAGUAGUUGACUGAGCUCCGCAGCAGAACCGGAUCGUGCGCUUCCGAGCCUUGAGCCUUCGUAGGAUUCUUUCUUCAUGUUAUUUCCUUUGAACUCUGUUUUGUUGAAAUUGAAGUUCUUAGACAUGCUCUGUUAUCGCCCUGUUAGGGUUUGAUUUGUGAGGCCUGAGGCCAUUUCAUUGUAAAUUGUUUGUUCGUUUUAAAGCAUGCUGCUGGUUGGGUUUGUUUUGUAUUUUGUUGCAGGUUGAAAUUUGUUGGGUUUCUUAAAUUUAUAGGGGGGACUCUGCCAAAAUUUUGGUAAAGAGUCUCGGUUUCUAGUAAGUGGGCCCGGCAUCGGGGUGAUGUCGGAACAAAGACGGG
rnacentral:lncRNA from 1 species